UUUCCCCGUUCCCGUCCAAACAAAUCUCUAAUUCUCUCUUUUCUUUUGUCGUUUCUCUUUAUGGACAAUUCUCAGCUCUUCCUUCACUUACAGAAAAUUAGAGUUUUUUUUUUCAUUUUCUUUUGUUGUAGAUAAUAUAGUUUUAGGGUUUUAUGUUUUCCCCUCAUUGUACAUUUUAGCUUUUGCAUUUUUAUGUAAGUCUUGGAUUUAGAUUUGUUAAUGUAUUGCUUCAGUUAUUUUAUUUGCUGAUUUCAUUUAGAUGAAACAACGAGUCAUUAUCGAUUUAGGGUUUUCAAUUUGUUUGUACUUUGUAUAUUAAUCAAUCAAUAUGGAUAAUCCGCGUCGACCGUUUGAUAGAUCAAGAGGUCCCGGUUUGAAAAAACAGCGUUUAACUGAGGACCUCUGUCUGAACCCUAGCGGCCAGCCUUUUCCUCAACGGACGAACCCUGUUGGUCCGUCAUCUGCUUUAAGAUUCCGGCCCAAUGAUUUGGACACCGAUGACAUGAGUCCUGGCGGUGGAGCUUAUGAGCCACAACCAGUUUCGCAUCACCAGCAACAGCGGCAACAUCAGGAGUUAGUUAGCCAGUACAAGACGGCCUUAGCUGAGCUGACUUUUAACUCGAAGCCGAUUAUAACUAACUUGACAAUAAUAGCCGGGGAGAAUGUUCAUGCCGCGAAGGCGAUUGCCGCCACUGUCUGCGCCAACAUUCUUGAGGUUCCCAGUGACCAAAAGUUGCCAUUGCUCUAUCUUUUGGAUAGUAUUGUAAAGAAUAUUGGGAGGGAUUACAUUAAACAUUUCGCUGCCAGAUUACCAGAGGUUUUCUGCAAAGCAUAUAGACAAGUUGAUCCUCCUGUGCAUCAGAGUAUGCGGCAUCUUUUUGGAACAUGGAAAGGAGUAUUCCCUCUUCAAACUCUCCAGGUGAUUCUGAAGGAACUUGAAUUUGCUCCCAUGAUAAAUGGUUCAUCUUCUGGAACGACAACAUCGAGGCCUGAUCCACUUUCACAACGUCCAGCACAUAGCAUUCAUGUAAACCCAAAGUAUCUAGAAAAACAGCAACUUCAACAGUCUAGCAGGGCAAAAAGUACUGUCAAUGAUAUUACUGGGACUUUGGCCAACUUAAAGGAGGAUUAUGAGAGGCCAAAUAGAGCAGCCAUUACAGUUGGACGGCCAUGUGGAGAUCCUUCUGUUAAAAUGAAUACUUAUGGUGUGGGUGUUGGAAGAGCCAGUAUUACUGAGGUUAUUUCCAGCCAGAGGAAUGGUUUCAAUAUUAAACGUGGAUCUGAAAAUUACCCGGCGUCCAAAUCUGUGAAUGCUGACCCUCGUUUAUUGGCAAGACAGAACAUUGCUGGUAGAAGCAGUAAUGUGAUGCCCAGCAGCUGGAAAAACUCCGAGGAAGAAGAAUUUAUGUGGGAGAUGCACUCUAGAUUGUCUCAACAUGAUGCAACCAACAUCUCUAAUAACACAAGGAAAGAUCAUUGGAUUCAUGAUGUUUCAGAAAAGUUGGAUUUUGAAAGUUCGCUUUGCAAAGCACAAAGUAUUGAUGAUGUUGGGUCCAGGUUCGACCGAGAAACAUCUUCCGAUUCAUUAUCCGCUGAGAAGAAGGACAAACCUUCAUAUGAGUGCCGGAUUUCAUCUGCAUGGCCAUUGCAGGAGUCACAUAAAACAGAUGCAUUGCCUGCUUUUAGUUCCAGCCAUUAUGACAACUAUUCUGCCACUAUUGGUGGGCUGCCUACUGCUGCAAGUUCUUCUCUGGCCAGGAUUGAAAUGCGACCCCAAAUGGGUUCAUCUCAUCUUGGACAGCAGCGCUUUCAGUCCCUGGGAACUACAUCACCAUCUGAACAGUCUCCUAUGCGCCAGCAUUCCCCGUCACCUUCAUUUCCAGCACACCGUACCCAUCAAGAUUUACAGAAUCUGGUUGAACGACAAGCUCAUUCUCUCCCUCCCUCUGAUUCAAACUUAUACCAUUUUUCAGGAAAGUUGGAUGUUGGGUCGCUUAAACACUCCCAUCAGGUUUCAUCUGCUUUGUCUUCUCGAUCUAGCCGCCAUUAUCCCCUUUCACAGCCACCAAAACCAGACCAUGUGCAGGCGGAAUCUUCUGGUCAGACUCAGAAACCGCUUCUGUCUCAGGUCUCUGAAGUAGGUGCAGCUUCAAUAUUCAGAAAUGCAAGAGAGCAUACCAAUCCACUUGCUAUUGGAACUCCAGAACCAUCAAGUACAAGUAGUCUAUUGGCUGCUGUAAUGAAGAGUGGAAUCCUCUCCAAUACUUCCUUUAUCGGCAGCCUUCCCAAUAAGAUUCUUCAAGAUUUGGAGCAAAUGCCAUCACGGCCUUCUCUUCCAAGCGAGUCUCUGCCUGCUACUUUCACCAUGUCUGGUUCUGCAUCUCAUGAUGCGAUAGCAACUACAAUAAAUAUUUCUCAGGGAAAAGCAGAACAGCUACCGCCUUCAUCUCUUGUUAAUAAUGCCCCAUUGCAAACUUCAGAUGCAGAAAGCAAGGCUUCAAAUCCAGUAUCCAACCUUUUGAGCUCAUUAGUUGCAAAAGGUUUAAUAUCUGCAUCAAAGAAGGAUGCUUUGUCUGUCCGAUCUCUUCAAAUUCCUACUCAAAUGCAGAAGAGCCCGGAAAGGGAGAGACCAACUGAAUUACCGAACAAGAGCUUGGAAACUUCUAUCAGUAGCCCUUUGCCAGCUUCUUCCAUUCCUAGUUCAUCUGAUGCUCUUCGUUCCUCCACCAUGGACGAGGUAUCAUUUUCUGAACCUGCUACAAAAAGUUCAGUUGUCUCGCAUCAGUACACCUCAAUAGUAGUAGAAAACCUCAUAGGACUGGAAUUCAGACCUGAUGUAAUCAGAGAACUUCAUUCAUCUGUGAUCAGUGGACUGUUGGAUAACCUACCGUAUUGUUGCAGUUUAUGUGGUCUUCGACUUAAGCUUCAGGAACAGCUCAACAGACACUUAGAGUGGCAUUCCAUAAAAAAGGUUGAGCCAAAAGGCUCCGAUAGAGCACUGAGGGGAUGGUAUGCACAGUCAGAUGACUGGAUCUCUGGAAAGCCAGGGCAAUUAGUAUUUGAAUCCACUGGAUCAGUGAACCAGUCUGAAAUGACAACAGAAGAGACUGAGGUUAUGGUUCCUGCAGAUGAAAAUCAAUAUGCAUGCAUGUUAUGUGGGGAGCUAUUCGAAGAUUUCUUUAGCCAGGGAAGGGGUGAAUGGAUGUUUAAGGGAGCUGUAUACUUGACUAUCCCAUCAAAGGAUGGUGAGGGUGGAACGACUACAUACGAGACUGCAGCCAAGGGUCCCAUUGUGCAUGCAAGUUGUAUGUCAGAGAGUUCAGUUCAUGACCUUGGACUGGCUGGUGAUAUUAAAAUGGAAAAGGGAGAAUAAUGUGCUGAGGUGAUAAUCAAGCUGCAAGUCUCACUUCUUGUUAGGAAAAGGAAGAACAACCCGUUAAGAUUUGGAAUUUGAUAACUGAGGAAGGUACUCCCUCACCCAGGCCAUGUCAAAGAUAUCUCAUUCAUGUCUCAUAGAAGAUAGGGAUGGAGUCAAGAUUGAACAUCUAGAUGAAUUAAAUUGCUCAACUUAAAAAAUAUAAGCGCUUGUUAAGUAUUAAAUUCCAAAAUUUGAGGGUAGCAUUGGACUAAAAAUGUUUGGGGGCACAUGUCUUUCCCAUCUCUUCUCUAUUUCUAUGCAAGAGUUUUUGUUUUUGUUUUUGAAUAGUUUAGGGCGAUAAUA